rnacentral:rRNA from 1 species
CAACUACAUUGAGUAUAGGAGGUCCAGCCUGCCCAGUGACUAUGGGUUCAACGGCCGCGGUAUUUUGACCGUGCAAAGGUAGCGCAAUCACUUGUCUCUUAAAUGGAGACCUGUAUGAAUGGCUAGACGAGGGCUUAACUGUCUCCCCCUUCCAGUCAGUGAAAUUGAUCUAUCCGUGCAGAAGCGGGUAUAAUUAUACAAGACGAGAAGACCCUUUGGAGCUUAAGGUACAAGAUUCAACCACGUUAAACGACUCUACAGAAAGCGCGAACUUAGUGGUAAGUGAAACUUUACCUUCGGUUGGGGCGACCGCGGAGGAAAGAGAAGCCUCCGAGUGGACUGGGUUAAACCCCUAAAGCCAAUAGAUACAUCUAUAAGCCGCAGAACAUCUGACCAAAAAUGAUCCGACUGAAAAGCCGAUCAACGAACCAAGUUACCCUAGGGAUAACAGCGCAAUCCUCUCCCAGAGUCCAUAUCGACGAGGGGGUUUACGACCUCGAUGUUGGAUCAGGACAUCCUAAUGGUGCAGCCGCUAUUAAGGGUUCGUUUGUUCAACGAUUAAAGU